UACGAAGGGGGCUAGCGUUGCUCGGAAUCACUGGGCGUAAAGGGUGCGUAGGCGGGUCUUUAAGUCAGGGGUGAAAGUCCUCGGAGCUCAACUCCAGAACUGCCUUUGAUACUGAAGAUCUUGAGUUCGGGAGAGGUGAGUGGAACUGCGAGUGUAGAGGUGAAAUUCGUAGAUAUUCGCAAGAACACCAGUGGCGAAGGCGGCUCACUGGCCCGAUACUGACGCUGAGGCACGGAAAGCGUGGGGAGCAAACAGG
rnacentral:rRNA from 1 species